GACAGCAGCAGCCGCGGGAAUACAGAGGGUGCGAGCGUUAAUCGGAUUUACUGGGCGUAAAGCGUGCGUAGGCGGCUUUUUAAGUCGGAUGUGAAAUCCCUGAGCUUAACUUAGGAAUUGCAUUCGAUACUGGGAAGCUAGAGUAUGGGAGAGGAUGGUAGAAUUCCAGGUGUAGCGGUGAAAUGCGUAGAGAUCUGGAGGAAUACCGAUGGCGAAGGCAGCCAUCUGGCCUAAUACUGACGCUGAGGUACGAAAGCAUGGGGAGCAAACAGGAUUAGAUACCCCUGUAGUCCCUGUCUCUUAUAC
rnacentral:rRNA from 1 species